rnacentral:rRNA from 1 species
GACGAACGCUGGCGGCGUGCUUAACACAUGCAAGUCGAACGGAAAGGCCCUGCUUUUGUGGGGUGCUCGAGUGGCGAACGGGUGAGUAACACGUGAGUAACCUCCCCUUGACUUUGGGAUAACUUCAGGAAACUGGGGCUAAUACCGGAUAGGAUCUCCUGCUGCAUGGUGGGGGUUGGAAAGUUUCGGCGGUUGGGGAUGGACUCGCGGCUUAUCAGCUUGUUUGUGGGGUAGUGGCUUACCAAGGCUUUGACGGGUAGCCGGCCUGAGAGGGUGACCGGCGACCAGGGGACUGAGAUACGGCCCAGACUGGUACGGGAGGCAACAGUGGGGAAUAUUGCACCAUGGCGGGAAGCCUGAGGCAGAAACGCAGAGUGCGGGAUGACGGCCUUCGGGUUAUAAACCGCUUUCGAAUGUGACGAAGCGUGAGUGACGGUAAUGGGUAAAGAAGCAACGGCUAACUACGUG